rnacentral:rRNA from 1 species
AUUGAACGCUGGCGGCAGGCCUAACACAUGCAAGUCGAGCGGAGCGGCGGACGGGUGAGUAAUGCCUAGGAAUCUGCCUGGUAGUGGGGGAUAACGUCCGGACACGGGCGCUAAUACCGCAUACUAUCAGAUGAGCCUAGGUCGGUUUAGCUAGUUGGUGGGGUACAGGCCUCCCAAGGCGACGGUCCGUAACUGGUCUGAGAGGUUGGUCAGUCACGUUGGAACUGAGACACGGUUCAGACUCCUAAGGUAGGCAGCAGUGGGGAAUAUUGGACAAUGGGCGAAAGCCUAAUCCAGCCAUGCCGCGUGUGUGAAGAAGGUUUUCGGAUUGUAAAGCACUUUAAGUUUGGAGGCGUUACCAACAGAAUAAGCACCGGCUAACUUCGUGCCAGCAGCCGCGGUAAUAC